rnacentral:tRNA from 1 species
CGGGGUGUGGCGCAGCCCGGUAGCGCGCUUGCAUGGGGUGCAAGAGGCCCAGGGUUCGAAUCCCUGCACCCCGA